rnacentral:rRNA from 1 species
AGUGAACGCUGGCGGUAGGCCUAACACAUGCAAGUCGAACGGCAGCACAGUAAGAGCUUGCUCUUACGGGUGGCGAGUGGCGGACGGGUGAGGAAUACAUCGGAAUCUACUUUUUCGUGGGGGAUAACGUAGGAAAACUUACGCUAAUACCGCAUACGUCCUACGGGUGAAAGCAGGGGAUCUUCGCACCUUGCGCGAUUGAAUGAGCCGAUGUCGGAUUAGCUAGUUGGCGGGGUAAAGGCCCACCAAGGCGACGAUGCGUAGCUGGUCUGAGAGGAUGAUCAGCCACACUGGAACUGAGACACGGUCCAGACUCCUACGGGAGGCAGCAGUGGGGAAUCUUGGACAAUGGGCGAAAGCCUGAUCCAGCCAUACCGCGUGAGUGAAGAAGGCCUUCGGGUUGUAAAGCCCUUUUGUUGGGAAAGAAAAGCAGCAGGUUAAUCCCCCGCUGUUCUGACGGUACCCAAAGAAUAAGCACCGGCUAACUUCGUG